rnacentral:rRNA from 1 species
AACGAACGCUGGCGGCAUGCCUAACACAUGCAAGUCGAACGGGAUCCUAGCUUGCUAGGUGAGAGUGGCGGACGGGUGAGUAACACGUGGGAAUCUGCCUUUUGGUUCGGGAUAACCGCGGGAAACUGCGGCUAAUACCGAAUGCCCUCGAGAGAGGAAAGAUUUAUCGCCAGAAGAGGAGCCCGCGUCCGAUUAGGUAGUUGGUGGGGUAAAGGCCUACCAAGCCGACGAUCGGUAGCUGGUCUGAGAGGAUGAUCAGCCACACUGGGACUGAGAUACGGCCCAGACUCCUACGGGAGGCAGCAGUGGGGAAUAUUGGACAAUGGGGGCAACCCUCGAUCCAGCAAUGCCGCGUGAGUGAUGAAGGCCUUAGGGUUGUAAAGCUCUUUUGCCAGGGAAGGAUGAUGACUGUACCUGGAGAAUAAG